rnacentral:misc_RNA from 1 species
CGUGCUGCGAGUUGCACCAGCGUCACCUGCGUUGCUUCGAGUCGCUUGUCGCGCAGCGGGAUCGCAACCAACGUGCCCGCGACCAGUUCGGGCAUCGUCGCGUUCUGCGGCAGGAGCGCGACAUGGAUCAUACCCGCGGUGCUCCGAACCACCCCCAGACCCAGGGCAAAAUCGAGCGUUGGCAUCAGACGCUGAAGAACCGCAUCCU